UCCUGGCUCAGGACGAACGCUGGCGGCGUGCCUAAUACAUGCAAGUCGAGCGGACAGAAGGGAGCUUGCUCCCGGAUGUUAGCGGCGGACGGGUGAGUAACACGUGGGUAACCUGCCUGUAAGACUGGGAUAACUCCGGGAAACCGGAGCUAAUACCGGAUAGUUCCUUGAACCGCAUGGUUCAAGGAUGAAAGACGGUUUCGGCUGUCACUUACAGAUGGACCCGCGGCGCAUUAGCUAGUUGGUGGGGUAAUGGCUCACCAAGGCAACGAUGCGUAGCCGACCUGAGAGGGUGAUCGGCCACACUGGGACUGAGACACGGCCCAGACUCCUACGGGAGGCAGCAGUAGGGAAUCUUCCGCAAUGGACGAAAGUCUGACGGAGCAACGCCGCGUGAGUGAUGAAGGUUUUCGGAUCGUAAAGCUCUGUUGUUAGGGAAGAACAAGUGCGAGAGUAACUGCUCGCAACUG
rnacentral:rRNA from 1 species